CUCCCUCCUUAAGCCCCCUGUCCUCCUGCCAAGCUGGAUGGUUGCCUGUCUAGGCCUGAUGUACAGCUGUCAUCCUGUUCCUUCCCUCCAAUACCCCCUUGGAUCUUGGUCUAUGUACUAUAACAAAAUCCCAGUAUUUCAUGGGCUCCUGUUGCCUGAAUCCUCCAGGAAAAAAGCAAUCUACAUUACAGAAAAAUGAACCACUUGCUGUCACGGAAUAGAUUUCUUCUUUCCUGUAUCAUCAUCUUUCUUAAUUUGUUUCCUAAUUUUGAUAGACCACACCUCCUUUCAGCUUUUUAUACAAAAGGGUAGAGGGGCAGUAAAUUCCAUGAGAUCCUGCCUGUCUGAAAAUUUCUUUAGUCUUCUCUUACACGUGGUUAAUAUUGUGACUAUAUUUUAUGUUCAAAAUAAUUUUCUCUCAGAAUUUCAAAGGAAUCAUUUUAGUGUUGCUACUGGACAUCAUUCUGGUUCCCAGUGCUUUAUAUGUAACUUAUUUUUUCUCUGGAAACAUUUGGGAUUCAUGAUAAUAUGCUUUGAUUUGGGUCCCACCUACUUUAAUUUAUUGCACUGGGUACUUAGCGGGCGCUUUCCAUCAGGAAGCUCGUGUUUUUCAGUUCUGGGAAUUUUCUUGUAUUAUUUAUUUGAUAAUUUUCUCUCCUUAUCAUUCACCUCCUAUUGUCUAUCUCUUUGCUUCAUGGUUUGCUUUUCAGGAGGGUUCCUCUACUUUAUAUUCCAACUCUUCUACAUAAUUUAUUUCUGCCAUUUAUGUAUUUUUUUAAUUCCCAAGAGCUCUUUGUGUUUUUCAAAUCUUCUUUUGCAUUCUAUUCCCAUAUUAUGAAUAUUAUGCAAUAGCUAUUAUGCAAUAGUUUCUCUUAUUUAUCUGAGGAUACUGAUAAGAGUUUGCUGAAAGUACUGAUGGUACUUUCCUUGAGUACUAUUUUUUUUUCCGUCUGUCUUUUAUGUUAGAGGCCUUUAUGAAAUGUCUAGCAAUCCUUUACUGGCUGCCCUGUUUAAGAGGCACUGCAAGGCAUACUUGGAACUCUCUGUGUACAUGGGCAGAGUUUGUCAGCAAGUGGGACUCAUGGAAGACAAUCAGGUGGGCUUGUAGCUCUUUCAUUAAAGGACUCACAAGGGUUAGUAUCUGCAGAUCUGAUCUUUUGUGCUGGUCAUCAGAGUCCUAGAUAUGGAAGUAGCCAAUGGAAUAUACAUUUCUAAGGCUUUAUGAUACUCAUCUGAGCAACUUAAUACUCAGAACAGGGUCUCACUUUGUCACCAAGGAUGGCGUGCAGUGGCAUAAUCUUGGCUCAGUGCAGCCUCAAAUCCCUGGGCUCAAGUGAUCCUCCCAUCUCAGCCUCCCAAAGUGCUGGGAUUACAGGCAUGAGCCACCAUGUCAGGCCCAGCGUUUCUGUUUGAGGUAUAGGAGGGAGGCAGGAGCAGAUUUGGCUGCAGAAGAGGAGAAGGCAAUGUGACCACAGAAACAGAGAUUGGAGUCAUACAGCUACCAGCCGAGAACACCGGCAGGCAGCUACCAGAAGAUGGAAGCGGCAAGGAACAGAUUCUCCCCAAGACCAGAAGGAUCCAACCCUGAUGACACCUUGAUUUUAUUCCUAUGUAACUCAUUUUGAAUUUAUACUUAAUUGUAAUUGUUCUGGCUUCCAGAACUGUAAAAAUAAAACAAACAAAAAAACCCAAAAAACAUUUCUAUUGUCUUAAGCCACAAGGUUUGUGCUAAUUUGUUACAACAGCAAUAGAUAACUAAUACAUGCAUAUUUAAAACUUUUUGGAAUUUUAAGCCUAAUAAAUGUCCAUAUACAUUAA